UCCCUUCCCUUCUCCCUUCCCUUCCACAAAAUUUAGAGCAUUUUCUUCUUUUUUUUUUUUACCAUUUUUGCAGGAUUCGGGAUGAAAUCCUCCUUCACUUUCCUCCUCCUCUUGUCAGGAGUCGUGACAAACAUCGAACCCACACCUGAAACCCUGCUUUAUCCCUAC